GGAGGGUUGGCCGAGCGGCUCAAGGCACCGCCUUGCUAAGGCGGAAUCGGUUCAUCCGAACGCGGGUUCGAAUCCCGCACCCUCCA
rnacentral:tRNA from 1 species